UACGAAGGGGGCUAGCGUUGCUCGGAAUCACUGGGCGUAAAGGGCGCGUAGGCGGCCAUUCAAGUCGGGGGUGAAAGCCUGUGGCUCAACCACAGAAUUGCCUUCGAUACUGUUUGGCUUGAGUCUGGUAGAGGUUGGUGGAACUGCGAGUGUAGAGGUGAAAUUCGUAGAUAUUCGCAAGAACACCGGUGGCGAAGGCGGCCAACUGGACCAUUACUGACGCUGAGGCGCGAAAGCGUGGGGAGCAAACAGG
rnacentral:rRNA from 1 species